CGGACGGGUGAGUAACGCGUGGGUAACCUGCCUCACACUGGGGGAGUAACAGUUAGAAAUAGCUGCUAAUACCGCAUAAGCGCACAGUUCCGCAUGGAACAGUGUGAAAAACUCCGGUGGUGUGAGAUGGACCCGCGUCUGAUUAGCCAGUUGGCGGGGUAACGGCCCACCAAAGCGACGAUCAGUAGCCGGCCUGAGAGGGUGAACGGCCACAUUGGGACUGAGACACGGCCCAA
rnacentral:rRNA from 1 species